rnacentral:tRNA from 1 species
GCCUAGUUAGCUUUGAGGGUAGCACGCCUGCCUUGUAAGCACUAGGUUGUGGGUUCGAUUCCCACGUGGGGUG